rnacentral:rRNA from 1 species
UACGUAGGCAGCAAGCGUUGUUCGGAAUUACUGGGCGUAAAGAGUGUGUAGGCGGUGCUCCAAGUCUGGUGUGAAAUCUCCCGGCUUAACUGGGAGGGUGCAUUAGAAACUGGAAUGCUAGAGGAUGGGAGAGGUAAGCGGAAUUCCUGGUGUAGCGGUGAAAUGCGCAGAUAUCAGGAGGAACACCAAUGGCGAAGGCAGCUCGCUGGGACGGUACUGACGCUGGAGAACGCGAAAGCGUGGGGAGCAAACAGG